UUUUAACUAUGAAGAUGUCUCUUCCCUAGGAGAAGACACAUGACUUUUGGCGGGGGUGGGUUUUUUUGGUUGGCUUUGUGCCACAUAAAUAUGUUUUCGAUGAGACGAGGGCAGCGGUUCUCAAAGUGCAGUGCCAGUGGUCCAUGGCUGCCUCCCAGGUGGUCUGCGGCGGGAGCUCCUUCUCCCCCACUUCCCCGGGCGGCAGGCUGGGCUGUGCCGUGCUGGCAGCGGUGAGAGAAGGCGACACUGGACCCUGCACAUGCAGGAGGCAGCUGGGGGCUCGGGGCCCUUCAGGGCUUUGCACCCAUGAGGACUUGGUCUGAGGGGACGGGCCAAGCCAGAGGGUGCCAUAGACAGAACCCCACCCACCUACUCAGUCUCCCCCUUGCUGCACCGCACUCAGUCUCCCUGCCCUCUGCCCCACCAUUUCCUUGAAACCCCCC